rnacentral:rRNA from 1 species
UUGGUUAAGUUAGAAAGGGCGCACGGUGGAUGCCUUGACACUAGGAGUCGAUGAAGGACGGGACUAACGCCGAUAUGCUUCGGGGAGCUGUAAGUAAGCUUUGAUCCGAAGAUUUCCGAAUGGGGAAACCCACCAUACGUAAUGGUAUGGUAUCCUUAUCUGAAUACAUAGGGUAAGGAAGACAGACCCAGGGAACUGAAACAUCUAAGUACCUGGAGGAAGAGAAAGCAAAUGCGAUUUCCUGAGUAGCGGCGAGCGAAACGGAACAUAGCCCAAACCAAGAGGCUUGCCUCUUGGGGUUGUAGGACAUUCUAUACGGAGUUACAAAGGAACGAGGUAGACGAAGCGACCUGGAAAGGUCCGUCGUAGAGGGUAACAACCCCGUAGUCGAAACUUCGUUCUCUCUUGAAUGUAUCCUGAGUACGGCGGAACACGUGAAAUUCCGUCGGAAUCUGGGAGGACCAUCUCCCAAGGCUAAAUACUCCCUAGUGAUCGAUAGUGAACCAGUACCGUGAGGGAAAGGUGAAAAGCACCCCGGAAGGGGAGUGAAAGAGAUCCUGAAACCGUGUGCCUACAAAUAGUCAGAGCCCGUUAACGGGUGAUGGCGUGCCUUUUGUAGAAUGAACCGGCGAGUUACGAUCCCGUGCGAGGUUAAGCUGAAGAGGCGGAGCCGCAGCGAAAGCGAGUCUGAAUAGGGCGUUUAGUACGUGGUCGUAGACCCGAAACCAGGUGAUCUACCCAUGUCCAGGGUGAAGUUCAGGUAACACUGAAUGGAGGCCCGAACCCACGCACGUUGAAAAGUGCGGGGAUGAGGUGUGGGUAGCGGAGAAAUUCCAAUCGAACCUGGAGAUAGCUGGUUCUCCCCGAAAUAGCUUUAGGGCUAGCCUUAAGUGUAAGAGUCUUGGAGGUAGAGCACUGAUUGGACUAGGGGUCCUCAUCGGAUUACCGAAUUCAGUCAAACUCCGAAUGCCAAUGACUUAUCCUUAGGAGUCAGACUGCGAGUGAUAAGAUCCGUAGUCAAAAGGGAAACAGCCCAGACCGCCAGCUAAGGUCCCAAAGUGUGUAUUAAGUGGAAAAGGAUGUGGAGUUGCUUAGACAACUAGGAUGUUGGCUUAGAAGCAGCCACCAUUUAAAGAGUGCGUAAUAGCUCACUAGUCGAGUGACUCUGCGCCGAAAAUGUACCGGGGCUAAAUACACCACCGAAGCUGCGGAUUGAUACCAAUGGUAUCAGUGGUAGGGGAGCGUUCUAAGGACAGUGAAGUCAGACCGUAAGGACUGGUGGAGUGCUUAGAAGUGAGAAUGCCGGUAUGAGUAGCGAAAGACGGGUGAGAAUCCCGUCCACCGAAUGCCUAAGGUUUCCUGAGGAAGGCUCGUCCGCUCAGGGUUAGUCAGGACCUAAGCCGAGGCCGACAGGCGUAGGCGAUGGACAACAGGUUGAUAUUCCUGUACCACCUCUUUAUCGUUUGAGCAAUGGAGGGACGCAGAAGGAUAGAAGAAGCGUGCGAUUGGUUGUGCACGUCCAAGCAGUUAGGCUGAUAAGUAGGCAAAUCCGCUUAUCAUAAAGGCUGAGCUGUGAUGGGGAAGCUCCUUAUGGAGCGAAGUCUUUGAUUCCCCGCUGCCAAGAAAAGCUUCUAGCGAGAUAAAAGGUGCCUGUACCGCAAACCGACACAGGUAGGCGAGGAGAGAAUCCUAAGGUGUGCGAGAGAACUCUGGUUAAGGAACUCGGCAAAAUGACCCCGUAACUUCGGGAGAAGGGGUGCUUUCUUAACGGAAAGCCGCAGUGAAUAGGCCCAAGCGACUGUUUAGCAAAAACACAGCUCUCUGCGAAGCCGUAAGGCGAAGUAUAGGGGGUGACACCUGCCCGGUGCUGGAAGGUUAAGGAGAGGGGUUAGCGUAAGCGAAGCUCUGAACUGAAGCCCCAGUAAACGGCGGCCGUAACUAUAACGGUCCUAAGGUAGCGAAAUUCCUUGUCGGGUAAGUUCCGACCCGCACGAAAGGUGUAACGAUUUGGGCACUGUCUCAACCAGAGACUCGGUGAAAUUAUAGUACCUGUGAAGAUGCAGGUUACCCGCGACAGGACGGAAAGACCCCGUGGAGCUUUACUGUAGCCUGAUAUUGAAUUUUGGUACAGUUUGUACAGGAUAGGCGGGAGCCAUUGAAACCGGAGCGCUAGCUUCGGUGGAGGCGCUGGUGGGAUACCGCCCUGACUGUAUUGAAAUUCUAACCUACGGGUCUUAUCGACCCGGGAGACAGUGUCAGGUGGGCAGUUUGACUGGGGCGGUCGCCUCCUAAAGUGUAACGGAGGCGCCCAAAGGUUCCCUCAGAAUGGUUGGAAAUCAUUCGUAGAGUGCAAAGGCAUAAGGGAGCUUGACUGCGAGACCUACAAGUCGAGCAGGGACGAAAGUCGGGCUUAGUGAUCCGGUGGUUCCGCAUGGAAGGGCCAUCGCUCAACGGAUAAAAGCUACCCCGGGGAUAACAGGCUUAUCUCCCCCAAGAGUCCACAUCGACGGGGAGGUUUGGCACCUCGAUGUCGGCUCAUCGCAUCCUGGGGCUGUAGUCGGUCCCAAGGGUUGGGCUGUUCGCCCAUUAAAGCGGUACGCGAGCUGGGUUCAGAACGUCGUGAGACAGUUCGGUCCCUAUCCGUCGUGGGCGUAGGAAAUUUGAGAGGAGCUGUCCUUAGUACGAGAGGACCGGGAUGGACGCACCGCUGGUGUACCAGUUGUUCUGCCAAGGGCAUAGCUGGGUAGCUAUGUGCGGAAGGGAUAAGUGCUGAAAGCAUCUAAGCAUGAAGCCCCCCUCAAGAUGAGAUUUCCCAUAGCGUAAGCUAGUAAGAUCCCUGAAAGAUGAUCAGGUUGAUAGGUUCGAGGUGGAAGCAUGGUGACAUGUGGAGCUGACGAAUACUAAUAGAUCGAGGACUUAACCAUAUAA